UAAAUUAAAUGGCCGCAGUAUUUUGACUGUGCUAAGGUAGCAUAAUCAUUAGUUUUUUAAUUGAAAGCUGGAAUGAAGGGCUGGAUGAAAAAAAGACUAUUUUUAUUUAAUUAUAAUAACUUUAUUUUUAAGUUAAAAAGCUUAAAUUAUAUUAAAAGACGAGAAGACCCUAUAGAGUUUUAUAUAAAUUAAUUUUAAUAAUAUUAGUAUUAAAUUUUUUAUUUUUAAUUUGUAUUUAAUUGGGGUGAUUAAAAAAUUUACUUAACUUUUUUUUUAUUUAAAUAUAAAUAAAUAGUUUUUUGAUCCAAUAUUUUUGAUUAUAAGAUUAAAUUACCUUAGGGAUAACAGCGUAAUUUUAUUAGAGAGUUCAAAUCGAUAAUAAAGAUUGCGACCUCGAUGUUGGAUUAAAAUUUAUAAUUGGUGUAGAAGCUAAUUAAUUA
rnacentral:rRNA from 1 species